AUUGAACGCUGGCGGCAGGCCUAACACAUGCAAGUCGAACGAGUGGCGGACGGGUGAGUAAUGUCUGGGAAACUGCCUGACGGUGGGGGAUAACUACUGGAAACGGUAGCUAAUACUGCAUACCAUCAGAUGUGCCCAGCUGGGUUGGGCUAGUUGGUGGGGUAACGGCACACCAAGGAGACGAUCCCUAGCUGGUCUGAGAGGAUGACCAGCCACACUGGAACGGAGACACGGGCCAGACUCCUACGGGAGGCAGCAGUGGGGAAUAGUGCACAAUGGGCGCAAGCCUGAUGCAGACAUGCCGCGUGUAUGAAGAAGGCCUGCGGGUUGUAAAGUACUUUCAGCGGGGAGGCGUUACCCGCAGAAGAAGCACCGGCUAACUCCGUGCCAGCCGCCGCGGUAAUUC
rnacentral:rRNA from 1 species